GCAUCCAGAAAUUUCUACAACCUACUGGGGUAAAAUCUUUCUCAACCCUGCUUUUCAUCAUCACAUCUUAAAUAUCUCGAGUUGGUUCCCUAUUGCCAAAAAAAAUCCAUUGUCCAUGUAGGGUUCUUCUGCCGAAACGAGGAAAGAGUGAGUUAAAUGUUGGUAGGUGAUAUAGAGAUAGUAAUUAGGCAAUAUAAUUCGAUGUUGUUGAAAGAGCUGAGCUAUGAAAUGCAUUGUGAUAAAGGGGCUGCCUGUGUAAGUAAAUGGGUAUAAUGAGGUGUAAAACUCCCUUUCUCUCUCUCUUUCUGCUUCAUAAGCCUUUCUGCUUCUCAAGUCCAGACCUGCUGUUUUUGGGGUUUCCUUCCAAUUUUUUUGCUGCUUCCCUGGGGCCUUGGCUCUUGGGCCUGCUGCCUCUUCCCACUCUACACCUUUGGAUUCCUUAUCUUUGGCUCCACCUUAUUGCUCCAUUCUCCAAAGACAAAUCCACAAGGCAUAGGAUUUUACAGAAUAUGGGGUUACAGAAACAGCAUAGGGAAGUGUAAAAGCCUAGAAGCUUCUUACAGACGCAGCCCCUUGUCUGUAGCUCCUGACUCCCACUUAAAUGUCUGUUGGAAGCACCCUGGGGUAGCAGAACCCAGCUCAGAAGAUGGGGCUUAUCCACCAUGCCUUUUCCUAACCUGACACCCACCCAGAUAAUCUUUUCAAUAUGCAAACUAGAGCGUAUCACCCCCUGCUCAGAGCCUUUCUGUGACCUCCCAUUUUGCUUCCCAGGACUCCUUGCUCCUUAGCCAGGUCUCCAGGUCCUCCGUGAUCAGGUCUCUGCUCUUCUGCAGCCUCAUCUCUGCCAUUCUUCACCUUUUGUGCUCCAACCCAAUCUGGUUUUCUUCUCAUGCUUUGAACACCCCAAGUCUGUCUGCUUCAGGAGCUUCGUACUGGCUAAUCAUUCACCACAGCAUACUCCCAUCUAUACGGCUGGCUCUUAUAUUAUGGGUCUCAGCUAAAAUGUCAUCCCUUCAAAGAGACCUUCUUGGACCACCCCCGCCAUUCUCUAUCCUAUUUCUCUCUUUUAUUUUCUUUGAAGCACUUACCCACUUUCAGAAACUAUCUGGCUUGCUCAUGUGUUUGUCUCUAGAUUGUCUACUUCCCCUCCUAGACUGUACUCUCCACAAGAGAGCAAAGCUGUGUCUGUUGCAUUCACUGUUGUCUUCCCAGAAGCAAGCAGCAUGCUGGAGACCCUCAAAUACAUGUGAAAUGAAGGGACACCUUGUGUUAUUUCACCUGUUUCCACCUGGUUCCCAAGUGGCAAGCUUGCAUUGAGGUUACAAAGUGGCAAAGCUGGGAUAUCACAUGAUGUCACCAUGAUGCUAUAUGAAAUGUAACAUUAAUUGAGUACCUAUGUGACCAGUUCUUUAAUUCUGUAAGUGAACUCUCAAAAAACCCUAGGUAAGUAUUAUCAACUCGAACUUUAACGGAUGAGGAAACUGGAAUUUUUUAAAAAAUGACUUAACCAAACAUCACAGAGCUGUAAACCAGGAUUUGAAUGGGUGAGCUGCACUCAGCCUUCAUCUCAAGUCAGUUUGCCUCUUUCUCCAAGAAGCCACAGUUGAUCCUGACCACAUCACAUAUGAGUUGCCUGGAUUGCAGUCAUUCAUUCACUAAGCAUCUUUUAGGAGGUCACAUGCCAGGCACCGUGUUAGGUAAUGAUUUCUCCAAGUCACAGGAGCCGUGGUUCUGACUUUAGAAAGUUUCUCAUCUGAUGGGAGGGCAGGCAAGUAAAUCAGUAAGGGUGGUCCCUGUCGGGACACUGGUUGAGAAAUACCCAGGAACACUCUGAUUGAGAAAUACCCAAAGUGCAAAGUGACAGGGACUAGAGGCAUCUCCACUGGACCAGAGAGCUCUGGAUUCGUCUUGAGCUAAGUCUCUGGAGGUAGGUGUCAGCUACAAGGAGAAAAGCUGUAUAUUUUGAGAUAUGGGAUGCAGGGCCUUUUAGUUCCAUAAAUAAGAGAACUAUGGUGUGAAUACCACAUGCCCUGGGCUGAACUAAGUGGGCUCUAGGGGAAGGUAUACUGGGCAGGGAGUUUGGAGAACUGGUUUCUGUCUAAUCCUUCUCUAACUCUGUGACCUUGAAUGCAUCAUUUCCCCUCUGAGUCUCAGAUUCUCUUUCUGGCUGGCAUUUAAUGAAACCUAAAUAUUCUAGACCUUCUACUUGUUCCAUAAGUGCUCAGUCCUACACUCACUCUCCUCUGGCACCAAUAUACUGAUUACUCAUUUUAUGCCCAGCAGAGCACUGCGUGUUUUGAAAUAUACAAAUAGUGGGAAACGAAAUCUUUGUUCUGGAUGCAGUUAUAAUUUGGAAAGCGAGGAAAUAAAUUAUAACAAGGGGAAAAAACAGGGUUGCCGUGAGGAGUAAAUGAGCUGUUGCAUGGGAAGCACUUAGCAUGGGGCCUGAUAAAUAGUAAGCCCUUGGUAAUAAUUACAUCUUCCGUGAUGCUAGACACAGAGGGAUUGAAAUGCAUAACAAUAGAGAUGAAACACGAAGAGUGAUAAAUGAAGAUUGAGUGUGCACACCUUCUGGAGGAGCCCUGAUUGAGUAUUUUAAAAUACUACUAAAGUCAUGCCGUGUGACUUCUGAAGCUAGCUCCUAAGAAGUCCUUGCAGCUUCUGCCUGCGACUCUUAGAACACUUGCUUUGAAGGAUGCCAGAUGCUGUCUUAAAAGUCUGAGCACUCUGAAACCAUCAUGCUGUGAGGAAGCCCAAGCUAACCACAUGGGCAAAAAAGAUGCCCUCUGACUGCCACCAUUUGAGACACUCUAAUUAAGAACUGCCUCAUUGAGCCCAUGAGGCCCUGUGAAUGAUAAUAAUAAAUUGUUUUUAACCACUAUGUUUUUGGAUUUGUUAUAAGUUUAUAGAUAACAAGAAAAAGUUAUAUUAGCAUGGUAAUAAAAUUAUGGAUAUGUGUAA
ensembl:lncRNA LINC00964 long intergenic non-protein coding RNA 964